rnacentral:rRNA from 1 species
UGUAAAUGUAAAUAUUUAACCAGGGUAGUAAUAGUUAUGUUCUUGAAACCCAAAGAAUUUGGCGGUAUUUUAGUCCUUUCAGAGGAAUCUGUCCCGUAAUCGACAACCCACGAGAUAAUUUACUUAUUUUUGUUAUUCAGUUUGUAUACCUCCGUCAUAAGAAGAUCUUUUUAGAGGCUUAAUUUUCUUAAUAUAUUAAAUAUAAGAUGUCAGGUCAAGGUGCAAUUUAUAAAUAAGAGGAGAUGGAUUACAAUAAAUUUAUUUAAAUGGAUUAAAUUAUUUAAAUUUUUAUGAAGGUGGAUUUGAUAGUAAUUAUAAUUAUUUGUUAUUAUGAUUUUGGCUCUAAAAUAUGC